rnacentral:lncRNA from 1 species
CCACAAGAAAGUGCCAGUUAAUAAUGUCAGUUAGGAACACCAGUUCAGAAGACUAAAGAAGCUUAACAAAAUACUAUUGCUAACUCCGUAUCAAUAUAAAACGUUUGUGUAGGCUAAACUAGCCUACAAAAACGUCUUAUAUUUUGAUACGGAGGUAAUACUAACAUAAGUUUCUGAAAAAGGACAAGGUUGAAGUUUGCUCAAGACAACAGAAUCAGAAGGCGGUAAGUAGGUGUGUGACUAAACAAUGGCCUACCAAGUACUCC